rnacentral:rRNA from 1 species
AAAGACCUUGCGCUUUGGGAGCGGCCGAUGUCUGAUUAGCUAGUUGGUGGGGUAAAGGCCUACCAAGGCGACGAUCAGUAGUUGGUCUGAGAGGACGACCAGCCACACUGGGACUGAGACACGGCCCAGACUCCUACGGGAGGCAGCAGUGGGGAAUUUUGGACAAUGGGCGCAAGCCUGAUCCAGCAAUGCCGCGUGAGUGAAGAAGGCCUUCGGGUUGUAAAGCUCUUUCAGUCGAGAAGAAAAAGCUGCAGUGAAUAACUGUAGUUCAUGACGGUAUCGACAGAAGAAGCACCGGCUAACUACGUGCCAGCAGCCGCGGUAAUACGUAGGGUGCGAGCGUUAAUCGGAAUUACUGGGCGUAAAGGGUGCGCAGGCGGCUUUGUAAGUCAGAUGUGAAAUCCCCGGGCUUAACCUGGGAACU